UACGAAGGGGGCAAGCGUUGUUCGGAAUUACUGGGCGUAAAGGGCGCGUAGGCGGCCGAUCAAGUCAGGCGUGAAAUUCCCGGGCUCAACCUGGGGGCUGCGCUUGAUACUGAUUGGCUUGAAUGCGGGAGAGGAUAGUGGAAUUCCCAGUGUAGAGGUGAAAUUCGUAGAUAUUGGGAAGAACACCGGUGGCGAAGGCGGCUUACUGGUCCGGAACUGACGCUGAGGCGCGAAAGCGUGGGGAGCAAACAGG
rnacentral:rRNA from 1 species